UAAUAUUUAUAUAGCUUAUAUAGCUUAUAUAGUUAUAUAUGAUUGUUGUUGUAAAUAACAACAACAAUCAGUGUUAAC
rnacentral:tRNA from 1 species